rnacentral:lncRNA from 1 species
AGCCUGAUCUUCGUUGCAGUUGGCACAUUUUGCUAGUUGCUCUUUAUCUUUUGGGCAAACGUUGCUGGGAUGGUUAAGAGAGCAUUUCACACAUCUGUGAGUUUUGGCACAAUAUGACUUUGUGUGUCCAAAUUCCUGGCACCGAUAACACUGAACGAUUUCUUUGGUUUUACGGGGUGGUUCUAUAUUAACAACUGCGUUACCAAUGAGUUUAACUUUGUAUAUAUCUAAGUUCUUAUUGUUGGGCUCAAUGUCUAAGUAGAAC